rnacentral:tRNA from 1 species
UAAUAAAUUGUUAUUAUUAAAAUUUUAGGUAAAAGUUAUUAAGAACUUUUUUUAUAUAAAUA